rnacentral:misc_RNA from 1 species
AACACUGUUAACCUGCGGUACCUGCGGAAGGAUCAUUGCUGGAACGCGCUUCGGCGCACCCAGAAACCCUUUGUGAACUUAUACCUAUUUGUUGCCUCGGCGUAGGCCGGCCUCUUCACUGAGGCCCCCUGGAAACAGGGAGCAGCCCGCCGGCGGCCAACUAAACUCUUGUUUCUGUAGUGAAUCUCUGAGUAAAAACAUAAAUGAAUCAAAACUUUCAACAACGGAUCUCAGAUCGGA